CUUUCAGAGAGAUCACUUCCGGAACGCUGUGGUCGCCAUUUUUCUUAUUGGCAAUUACUGCUGUUGUCCGGGUUGGUUGUCUGAUCGAUUAAAGAUGGCACUCAGGUCAAUUUCAGGUCAUGAUACCGUAUCUAUGAGGUGCCAGUGGAGGAUACGGACCAGAUGAACAGCAACAUAGUACAGUAAAGUGCACGUUCCCCAAUGGCAACUUACCAUCGGCACACAAAUGCAGGAGCAACUGUAACAGCACCACAUAUUCAUUAAAAUUCCUUUACUGGUAUGUGAUCUGUUAUCCAGAAUGCUCAAGACCUGGGGUGUUCCAGAUAAUGGAUCUUUCUGUAAUU